rnacentral:rRNA from 1 species
AGCGAACGCUGGCGGCAUGCCUAACACAUGCAAGUCUGACGGGCGGGGCUUUCGGGCCUUGUCAGUGGCGGACGGGUGAGGAGCGCGUAGGAACGUAUCCAAGGGUGGGGACAACCGCGGGAAACUGCGGCUAAUACCGCAUGGGGCCUCUAGGGAGACCUGAAAGGGGAGACCUGGGGGCCAAAGGCUGGGGCAACCUAGUCGCCGAUGGAGCGGCCUGCGUCCGAUUAGCUAGUUGGUGGGGGGAUGG